CCCCUCGGAAGUCCUCGUGUUGCAUCCCU
rnacentral:rRNA from 1 species